rnacentral:rRNA from 1 species
UACGUAGGGUCCGAGCGUUUGUCCGGAAUUAUUGGGCGUAAAGGGCUCGUAGGCGGUUCGUCACGUCGGGAGUGAAAACUCGGAGCUCAACUCCGAGCCUGCUUCCGAUACGGGCAGACUAGAGGUAGGCAGGGGAGAGCGGAACUCCUGGUGUAGCGGUGGAAUGCGCAGAUAUCAGGAAGAACACCGGUGGCGAAGGCGGGUCUCUGGGCCGAUACUGACGCUGAGGAGCGAAAGCGUGGGGAGCGAACAGG